CUAAUGGACCCCCUCUCCAUCAAAGGAUAAAUACGGGCUGAAUGAGGUAUUGGUACUGGUCCACAUCUGGGUGUAUUUUCAUUGACGUGGAACAGCUGCACGCGUAGGCUGUCGGGACCCUGAGCCAUGUCGUCCCAACUGUCUCAUCCACGCCUCAGGAAGUCGCCUUCUGACUCUUCUUCUUCCUCUUCGUCAUCCCCCGCCAACGAGGGCCUGAGGCAUGAGCGACUAUCUAGACUGAAGUCGUCUGGCGAGUCGGACGCCUCCAACGACACGACGAAAAACCACGCCGAGUCGUAUUUCUCGCGGCGGGAGAACAGACUGUCAGCGAGGAAAAAGGCCGAAGAGGAGAUAGCACACAAUGAUUAUAAAAAGAUGUAUGAAAAAGCUCUGGCCACCAAUCAGAGGCUGAAGUCUAGGCUGGAAACCAGUAAGCAGGAAUUGGUUGUGAUAAAGGAGCAGCUGCAGAGAGCUCAGCAGAAGGAGAAAAAGAGAGAAUUGGGUUCCAACAUGCUUGAAACAGAGAAAAGGGAUAGUCGGAGUCUCAGGAAGAAAAUAUCUGACAUGGAAGAACAAGUGAAGGUAAAAGCAGAACUUCACACGGAAAACCAAAGACUGAAGGAUGAAAACGGAGCGCUGAUCCGCGUCAUCACCAAAUUAUCCAAGUGAUUUAAUCCAAGCUGAACAGAUGGCUGAGUACUGGAUCCCUGCUACCCGUUUUAUGUCUCAUGAUAACAACACAGACGCUUACCCCCCUGCAGCAGCUGGAUCUUCACAUAUGGGUCUGCGAAAGAACAAGUUAGCAAUCAUCAGUAUUGUACCUAAAUGAGUUAACAAAAUAAAAUUUUAUGAACUUGUUCGUAUUUUGGGCUAACAUGAACUGAUUGUAGUGUAUUUCUGCCUGAGGAACAUUCUUGAGCAUGCACUCAUUCUGACAUCUGUGAACGGUUUUUGAACGGCAGUUCAUUUUUGUUCCAUACAGUGCCAGUAUGAGUCAAGCCAUCACGUGUGACCUUAGCCAAUCAAGUCUGCAUUUCAGACGGUAAUCAUGAAUGCGCAUAGACUAAAGACGAACUCCAUCAAACCGCAGUCUUCCACAUGACUACUGUCCAAUACACUAACGAGGAUUGCUUUCCAGCUCCUUGACCUAGUGGGGAGCAGGCCUCACUGUUCCUGAACGCAUUCUGGUAAAUGCCAGCUAACCAGACGUUUUGCCGGUCCUGUCAGCAGCAGUUUCCUCAGUGUAGUGGUUAUCACAUUCGCCUAUCAUGCGAAAGGUCACCAGCUUGAGACUGGGUGGAAACAACUUAUUUAUUCGUCUCUUGCUUGCUUGUCAGCAGUGUUGUACUUGUUUUCCGGGCCUGUUAAAAGGUUGAAGAAACACAACAGUUUCCAUCGUGUAGCGGUUAUCACAUUCACCAUACACAUACACACACACACACACACACACACACACACACACAAUUGAAUUCAUUGUUUGAAGCCCUCACCCAGGCUUGAAACCCUAAUUUGAAACCCGAAGCCUGGCUUGAAAUCUUUGUUUGAAACCCCUAUUUGAAACCCCAACCUUCGUUUGAAAGCAUAACACAGGCUUGAAACCCUAGUAUGUACCUUAAUAUGAAACACUAACCUUGAUUUGAAGCCCUCACCCAGGCUUGAAACCCUAAUUUGAAACCCAAAGCCUGGCUUGAAAUCUUUGCUUGAAAGCAUAACACAGGCUUGAAACCCUAGUAUGUACCCUAAUAUGAAACACUAACCUUGAUUUGAAGCUCUAACCCUGCCUUGCAACCCUAAUUUUAAAACUAAGCCAGGCUUGAAACCCUAACACGAACCCUAAUAUGAAAUCCUAAACUUUAUUGCAGACCUAAUCCUGGUUUGAAACCCUAACUCAAACCCCUAAAAUUGUCUUGCAACCUUAAUUUCAGAAUGAGUGUUAAAACCCAAAGUGCUUUUCCAUACAAAUAUUUACUAGACUACAGCACAUUCCCACUUGCAUACAAAUUUGGAUUAUGUUGCCACCUUAGGGACAUGAACUCCUUGGUACAUCAAGGAGCCACUGCAUUGGUGUUUGUGAUAAUCGUCUCCCUACCGGAUAAUCCACAGGCAUCCAUCUUUUUCAGGUUCUUGGCCUCCAGUAUGCAGACAGUGAGUUUCCCGGCAGUGGGGACGUAACGCAGGGAGAUGCAGAUGUCCCCCAGUUUCUCAGGCUGAAACAGCACAGAUGCCAGAGUCGUCAGCUAUGAAUUUUAAACUUUAAUUAAGAAUAAUGAACCAAUGUUAGAAAUCAUGUCUUCAGUCAGUGCCAGGACCAGCUGUGCUGCUUCUCCGUCAACAGGUCAACUAACAAUUUUGAAAUCUCUCAUCCAGUGUGGUAGUGCCUCAGUGUAAAAAUUAUUUAAAUAAGACAUUGUCUUUAUAGAAAUAAUUGGGUUUCACAGUGUUAAAUAAAACACAUACACAAAGCAGAAUUGUUGAAAUUUCUGCAGAUUUAUUAAAAAAGAAAAACUGAAAUAUCACACAGCCAUAAGUAUUCAGAGCCUUUGCCUUUGCUCAGUAUUUAGUAGAAGCACGCAUUUGAGCUAAUACAGCUAUGAGUCAUUUUGUUUUUCACACCUGGAUUUGGGGAUCAUCUGCCAUUCCUCCUUGCUGAUCCUCUCCAGUUCUGUCAGGUUGGAUGGUGGACGUUGGUGGGCAGCCAUUUUCAGGUAUUUCCAGAGAUGCUCAAUUGGGUUUAAGUCAGGGAUCUGGCUGGGCAAUUCAACAACAGUCAUGGAGUUGUUCUGAAGCCACGCCUUUGCUAUUUUAGCUGUGUGCUUAGGGUCAUUGUCUUUUUUGAAGGUGAACCUUCGGCCCAGUUUGAGGUUCUGAGCACUCUGAAGAAGGUUUUCGUCCAGGAUAUCCCUGUACUUGGCCGCAUUCAUCGUUUCUUCGACUGCAACCAGUUUACCUGUCCCUGCAGCUGAAAAACACCCCCACAGCAUGUUGCUGCCACCACAAUGCUUCGUUGUUGGGACCGUAUUGUACAGGUGAUGAGCGGUGCCUGGUUUUCUCCACACAUGCUACUUAGAAUUAAGGCCAACAAUUUCUAUCUUAGUCUCAUCAGACCAGAGAAUCUUAUUUAUCCCCAUCUUGGAGUCCUUCAGGUGUUUUUUUUUUUUUUUUAGCAAACUCCAUGCAGGCUUUCAUGUGUCUUGCACUGAGGUGAGGCUUCCGUCGGGCCACUUUGCCAAAAAGCCCUGACUGGUGGAGAGCUGCAGUGAUGGUUGACUUUCUAGAACUUUCUCCCAUCUCCCGACUGCAUCUCUGGAGCUCAGCCACAGUGAUGUUUGGGUUCUUCUUUAACUCUCUCACCAAGGCUCUUCUCUCCCAAUUGCUCAGUUUGGCCAGACGGCCAGCUCUAGGAAGGGUUGUGAUCGUCCCAAACGUCUUCCAUUUCAGGAUUAUGGAAGCCACUGUGCUCUUAGGAACCUUAAAUGCAGCAGAUGUUUUUUUUUGUAACCUUGGCCAGAUCUGCUUGUUGCCAUAAUUCUGUCUCUGAGCUCUUCAGGUAGUUCCUUUGACCUCAUGAUUCUCAUUUGCUCUGACAUGCACUCUGAGCUGUAAGGUCUUACAUAGACAGGGGUGUGGCUUUCCUAAUCUAGUCCAAUCAGUAUAAUCAAACACAGCUGGACUCCAAUGAAGGUGUAGAAACAUCUUAAGGAUGAUCAGAAGAAAUGGAUAGCACCCGAGUUAAAUAUAUGAGUGUCACAGCAAAGGGUCUGAAUACUUAUG